rnacentral:rRNA from 1 species
GAUGAACGCUGGCGGCGUGCCUAAUACAUGCAAGUCGAGCGAACGGACGAGAAGCUUGCUUCUCUGAUGUUAGCGGCGGACGGGUGAGUAACACGUGGAUAACCUACCUAUAAGACUGGGAUAACUUCGGGAAACCGGAGCUAAUACCGGAUAAUAUUUUGAACCGCAUGGUUCAAAAGUGAAAGACGGUCUUGCUGUCACUUAUAGAUGGAUCCGCGCUGCAUUAGCUAGUUGGUAAGGUAACGGCUUACCAAGGCAACGAUGCAUAGCCGACCUGAGAGGGGGAUCGGCCAAACUGGAACUGAGAAACGGUCCAGACUCCUACGGGAGGCAGCAGUAGGGAAUCUUCCGCAAUGGGCGAAAGCCUGACGGAGCAACGCCGCGGGAGUGAUGAAGGUCUCCGGAUCGUAAAACUCUGUUAUUAGGGAAGAACAUAUGUGUAAGUAACUGUGCACAUCUUGACGGUACCUAAUCAGAAAGCCACGGCUAACUACGUG